rnacentral:rRNA from 1 species
UACGUAGGGACCAAGCGUUGUUCGGAUUUACUGGGCGUAAAGGGCGCGUAGGCGGCUUAACAAGUCACUUGUGAAAUCUCCGGGCUUAACUCGGAACGGUCAAGUGAUACUGUCGUGCUAGAGUACAGAAGGGGCAACUGGAAUUCUCGGUGUAGCGGUGAAAUGCGUAGAUAUCGAGAGGAACACCUGCGGCGAAGGCGGCCCCCUGGUUGGAUACUGACGCUGAGACGCGAAAGCGUGGGGAGCAAACAGG